CCUACGGGUGGCAGCAGUGAGGAAUAUUGGUCAAUGGACGAGAGUCUGAACCAGCCAAGUAGCGUGAAGGAUGACUGCCCUAUGGGUUGUAAACUUCUUUUAUAUGGGAAUAAAACGUUCCACGUGUGGGAUUUUGUAUGUACCAUAUGAAUAAGGAUCGGCUAACUCCGGGCCAGCAGCCGCGGUAAUACGGAGGAUCCGAGCGUUAUCCGGAUUUAUUGGGUUUAAAGGGAGCGUAGGUGGAUUGUUAAGUUCGUUGUGAAAGUUUGCGGCUCAACCGUAAAAUUGCAGUUGAAACUGGCAGUCUUGAGUACAGUAGAGGUGGGCGGAAUUCGUGGUGUAGCGGUGAAAUGCUUAGAUAUCACGAAGAACUCCGAUUGCGAAGGCAGUUCACUGGACUGCAACUGACACUGAGGCUCGAAAGUGUGGGUAUCAAACAGGAUUAGAUACCCUAGUAGUC
rnacentral:rRNA from 1 species